UCGUGGGCGGGGCAGUCGGGAGGGGCUUCGGGGGAAGUGACGUCACUCUGCCUUGCCUGCCUGCGUGGGCCGCCUGGCUCCUGGACUUGCUUUCUUGGGAAGGGAAGCCACCAUGGACUCUGCACAGGAAAGCUAUCUCUAUGGGACUGGAGUUCUUCACCUGAGGCAGAAAGAUGUUUUGGACCACCCCUGAUUACAUGGAAGAAAUGUGACAGUCUCUCAGUUCACCAUUCAACUGACAUGCUGAAAGAAAACAGAAGGAAAGUUGUGGGUCCAGUAACAGAAGCAAAAGCAGGUCACGGGUUAAAGGCUAGUCUGGAUGGGCCCUUAGUGUUCCUUCACUUUUGAAGUGAGACCAUGCCAUAUAUUAUGUGUGGAGAAUAAUCCAAUCCUAUCUGAUUUAUCCCACAGUUACAAGUCUAAACUACUGAUAGAUGCUGCACAUACAUACACAAAAUAUAAAGUCAUGCAUACACCAGGUAAAAGUAAGGAUUGGGAAUCUAUGUGGUUUCAAGAGGUGUUUGGAGCAACUGAAAUCUUGCUAUACUAGCAAGAACCACUAAACAAGGGCCCGGGCUGUGGCGCAGGCGGGAGAGCAAGCCAGCUGCAAUUAACUGCAACGAAUCACUCUGACCAGGAGGUCAUGAGUUCGAGGCCGCUCGGAGCCUAUGUUUGUUUGUCUUUGUUCUAUGUUAAAAGGCAUUGAAUGUUUGCCUAUAUGUGUAAUGUGAUCCGCCCUGAGUCCCCUUCGGGGUGAGAAGGGCGGAAUAUAAAUGCUGUAAAUAAAUAAAUAAAUAAAUAAACGGCUCCUAUAGAAAUGGGCAGUGAAGCUGCUACUAAUGGGAAACAUUCAUUUGAUGUAUGUGAUGGGGGAAUACUUAAUUAUAUCCAAACUAUGUGACCCCUUCUCCCUCUGGGCCAUCGAAACCUAGUAAACCCAAUUUAUAAUAAAUAAAGGAAUGAAAGGAGAACUAAAAUUCAGAUUGACUUGACUGCACACUCCCCAAAGACCCGUGGAACAAAAUUGUCUAGAAUUCAAUCAGUUUCCCUUUAUCUUUAAUUUUCUUUUCAGAUACUUACAUGGCACACAUUUUCAUUCUCAUCCAGGGGAGAAAGAUACAUUGUAAUUAUUGUAUUCUCUAGGUUUUUUUUUUUAUUUCUCCACUCAUCUCAAUACUCUGUGACUUGUAUGAGUAAAAAAAAUGAGAUCUCUAUUUUUCAUCCUGCAAUAGUUCAGUUUUUUCCUUAAAUAUUAUUUAUAAAUUGCAGACCUUCGUUGCCAGUGUGAUGUCUCUGCUUUUCAGUAUUUUAUCGAGGUUGGCCAUUGCUCUCCUCCCAAGAAGUAAGCGUCUUCUGAUUUCCUGGCUUCAGUCUGCAUCUGCAGUGAUCUUCGCAUCUAGAAAUAUAAAGUCUGUCACUGCCUCCACAUUUUCUCCCUCUAUUUGCCAGUUGUUAAUUGGGCUGGUUGCCAUGAUCUUGGUUUUCUUGAUGUUUAACUGCAGCCCGGCUUUUGCACUUUCUUCUUUCACCUUGGUGAUAAGGCUCCUCAGCUCUUCCUCACUUUCAGCCAUCAGAGUGGUAUCAUCUGCAUACCUAAUGUUGUUAAUGUUUCUUCCCGAAAUUACAGCCUUCCAUUCCCUUGGUUUUUACAUAUAUGAAUGGAGCAAAUGUAAAAAGGAAUUCCCACCCAUUUACUUUUCCAGAAUUGAAGAAUGCAGAGGGGGAACUACAAUUGCCGCAACUCUUCAGAACACCCCAAUAAGCUGAGGGAGGGCACAUCCAGACAAUGCCCAAAAAGUGCGCCCUCCCACGUUUUUAUGUGUGGCAUUCAAACAUUUUGUUUUGUGUCCAGGUGCCCUGCCAGAAAGUCUGGCAGGGCAUCUGGACACCCCUCCCCCAGAAAAGUGCAGGGUUUUUGACACAUGUGCGGACUCUAAUGCUCGAUUGGGCUCGCAUUGAAGUCUUGUGUGGAACCAACCAGAUAAAGAGGAUUUUCCUGGUUUGUUUGAAACUAUUGGGAUUCCAUCAAUACCAACAACAACAACAAUAAUAACUUUAUUUUUAUACCCCGCCUCUAUCUCCUGAAAGGGGACUCAAGGCGGCUUACAUGGGGCCAAGCCCGAAUAAAAAUAAUAGCAAUAUAAAACACUACAAUAGACAAGAGACACGCACAAUUAUAAAAAUUUAAACAUUACCCAAUAAAACAAAUGACAAAAACUGAUAAAAACAUGGAUUAAAAUGGAGAGGCUGUCAAAGUAGACUGGGUAAGGUGCACCAUAUAAAUAUUGUAAACACGAGGUGACUGAUAAAGUGCUGCAAAUUCUUGGAAGUGCAAAUUAGGAUGGGAGUAGACCAAGCAAGCAGAAAUACUGGACUCAAAUACUUGUGAUGCUGGAAGACAUUGUUAAGGUGAAACUUGAGAUGAGACUGGAGUUGGGAAUGCUCAAUGAUAAUUUAGAAAGAACAUUUGGGGGGAAAGCAACAAUAUAUGAUAACUACUGCAAGCAUUAUGUAUGCUCAGAGAUGGAAGGAACCAGUUAUUCCAACACAAGAAGAAUGGCUAAUGAAGAUCUGAAAAAUAGUGGAAAUUGAUAAAUUUACUAUGUUGAUUAAAGAGAAACCUCUAACUUUAAGAAAGAUGGGGACAAACUUACUAUUUUUUCAGCAUGAUCAGCAAUGGGAUGCAUGAAGUAGUAGAGUUUUACCUAAAAUUGAAGUAUGAUUAUAUUGUAACAAGGGACAGGGCUCCUGUACAUUUAAUGGUUAUCUAGAAUAGGAAGUUUAAGGGCCCUUCCAGACAGACCCUGUAUCCUAGGAUUAGAUCCUAGGUUUUCUGCUUUAAACUGGAUUAUAUGAGUCUCCGCUGCCAGAUAAUCUGGAAUAAACAGAAAACCUGGGAUCAAAACCUGGGAUAUAGGGCCUGUCUGGAAGGGCCUUCAGCUAAUGCAACUUUCAUGGAAACUAAAAUUCCCUCUCUGCGACUGUAUCCACACUACAGAAUUAUCGUAGUUUGGCACCACAUUAAUUGUCAAGGCUCAAUGCUAUAGAAUUCUGGGAUUUAUAGUUUGGUGAACCAUUUACCCUGCUCUGUCAGAAGGCUCAGGUGCUACAACAAACUACAAAUCCCAGGAUUCAGUAGGAUGGAUCCAUAACAGUUACAAUGGUGCCAAAUGGCUAUAAUUCUGCAGUGCUAAACAACUAUUAAAGCUCUCAUGUCACCUGACAACUCUUUGCCCAACAUGCCUUUUGGGUCAAUAAAAACAAUAAAGCUUAUAA